GCGCCCAUAGCUCAAUGGUAGANNAUAAGGUUGGAGGUUCGAAUCCUCCUGGGCGCA
rnacentral:tRNA from 1 species